UCCUGGUGGCUCAGAUGGAAAAGAAUCUGCCUGCUAUGCAGGAGACCUAAGUUCAAACCUUGGAUCAGGAA
rnacentral:tRNA from 1 species